GCCACCGCCCCCUUGCGGGUGUCUGGGUAAAUCAUCCUGGCCUCUGCGCUGCAGAUGUGGGGACUGCCUUCCCGUGGGCGUGGGGACUGCUCUUUCCCGUGGACGUGGGGGUCUGCUCUUUCCCGUGGACAGCCGUGACUGAGUCAAGUGCCUGCCUGAAGGGUACCGUGACCCGAAUCCACGGGCCGCCGAGAUGUCUCUUUGCGGCCAAGGACUCCCAGUACCCGGGAGACACCUGGGGGGACAUUUGGCUCUAGGAAGUACUGGCCCCAGGGAAGCGGCUCUCAGAGGAACACUUCUUUCUUCUGCCUGCCUGGUUUCUCAAGCGAGUGUCAGAUGGAAAGCGAGGGCAGCAGGGGGGUUAUAUUCAUACAGUUGGAAAGCGACUAUAGAAAAUUCCAUAGAAAACUGGAAUCUCCGAUCUCGAGCAAACUCACAGGCCUCUCAGGGAAGCUUAGGUUGGCUCAGCAUCUCGGCUGUAGAACUUUCCAUUGCUCGUCACAAUCUUGGUUCUGAGCCAAAGGUUAAAAACUCAACUGAGAGUACCUUUCAUAUGGUCCGGAGUGUUCAAUCUGAAUUAAUUGAUCAUGUCCAUCGGGAAAAGUUAUCUUACACCAACCUAAGCUGAGACCUUGAUUUACCUUAAGAAGCACAGAGGAAAGGUUGCUUAGGUGAGUGGAAGACAGCACAGGAUGAGAAUACAGCAGCAGUAAGGAGGCUGAUGGUCAUCAUGCCAGUGCUGGCAGCAAGGGCAAACUGACAGCUCAGACUAAGCGGCAGCAAGCAACAUUAUAUAAAGAUCACAUUUCCCGUAUACAUUCACAAUUAUUUGGAAACAGCUAUAUACCACAAAUCUUCAGAUGAGACCUCAUUG